CGGACGGAACUUCAGAAUCGCCAUGAGAGCUGCCAGACACUCUUUCUCUGUCACAGAGUAGUUUAUCUGGUGACAAUUUAGCUUCGCCGAGAAGAAUGCAAUCGGCCUCUCGUUCUGCUCAUCAUCGCGUUGGAAGAGUACGGCUCCUACCCCAUAAUGCGACGCGUCGCACUGGAUGUAAAAGUGCCGCUUGAAAUCUGCGUGUACGAGGACAGGUGCAGAGGCAUCUGUAAGUGGAACGGCUAACUCUGCAAAGUUCUUCAUAAAACGCCGAUACCAACCCGCAGUACCCAAGAAACUACGCAAUUCUCGGACAGAUCGUGGCUCGGGAAUGCGUAAAAUAGCCGAUACACGAUCUGGAUCCAUCUUGAGCGUUCCUCCUCCCACUAUAAAACCGAGUCGCUCUGCAACCUGUAGAAGGA